rnacentral:rRNA from 1 species
UACGUAGGGUGCGAGCGUUGUCCGGAAUUAUUGGGCGUAAAGAGCUUGUAGGCGGUUUGUCGCGUCUGCUGUGAAAAUCCGGGGCUCAACCCCGGACUUGCAGUGGGUACGGGCAGACUGGAGUGUGGUAGGGGAGACUGGAAUUCCUGGUGUAGCGGUGGAAUGCGCAGAUAUCAGGAGGAACACCGAUGGCGAAGGCAGGUCUCUGGGCCACUACUGACGCUGAGAAGCGAAAGCAUGGGGAGCAAACGGG